rnacentral:rRNA from 1 species
CUUUUGUGGGGUGCUGAGUGGCGAACGGGUGAGUAACACGUGAGUAACCUGCCCUUGACUUUGGGAUAACUUCAGGAAACUGGGGCUAAUACCGGAUAGGAGCUCCUGCUGCAUGGUGGGGGUUGGAAAGUUUCGGCGGUUGGGGAUGGACUCGCGGCUUAUCAGCUUGUUGGUGGGGUAGUGGCUUACCAAGGCUUUGACGGGUAGCCGGCCUGAGAGGGUGACCGGCCACAUUGGGACUGAGAUACGGCCCAG